rnacentral:rRNA from 1 species
CUCAGGAUGAACGCUGGCGGCGUGCCUAACACAUGCAAGUCGAGCGGAGAUAAGUUGAAGCCUAGCGAUUCUUAUCUUAGCGGCGGAUGGGUGAGUAACACGUGGGUAACCUGCCCUGUACUGGGGGAGUAACAGCUGGAAACGGCUGUUAAUACCGCAUAUGCGCACGGAGCCGCAUGGCCCUGGGCGGAAAGAUUCAUCGGUACAGGAUGGGCCCGCGCCGGAUUAACUUGUUGGCGGGGUAACGGCCCACCAAGGUGAUGAUCCGUAGCCGACCUGAGAGGGUGACCGGCCACAUUGGGACUGAGACACGGCCCAAACUCCUACGGGAGGCAGCAGUGGGGGAUAUUGCACAAUGGGGGAAACCCUGAAUGCAGCGACGCCGCGUGAAGGAAGAAGUAUUUCGGUAUGUAAACUUCUAUCAGCGGGGAAGAAGAUGACGGUACCCGCACAAGAAGCCCCGGCUAACUACGUGCCAGCCGCGGC